UAUCCCAAAUCAAAGCUAUCAACUCCCAUCUCCAUGUUUCAAGGCUGAUGACAAACGGAAAGUCUUGGUUGUCCUAGUGUUUAAACAGUUUUGUUUUCAUGCCAAAGAGAAGCACAAAAGUUGAGUUUCACUCUCAGUGGUUUCAGCUUUUUCCUUUCCGGAGAGCUGAGAGCCAGCUCCUGUGAAUAAAAUCACUUCCCGGCACUAAAUGAUUCCCAUUUACACCCACAGAGCACUUGGGCCAGCUGUUCCAUUUGUGUUCUCACUCCUUACCAUGGUGGUCUGCCUCCAGUUACUCAGGCAGUCAGAUCCUGACAGCCAGUAAAAGAUCUGAAAGGACUCAUCCAAACCCACAACCGUGUAGAGAAGAAGGCUUCCUUUUCCCUGGGGAAAUCCUAGGUCUGCCAGAGAAACAGAAGAGCUGUAAAGAACACAACUGUAUUUGAUUUGA